GUUAAGUAUAUAAGGGGUGAGUAAAUAGGCGUACAAUAUUUCAAGUUCUCAGCAGUCCGCCGAUUACUGCCUAGGAGCACUGUAAAUACGAAAAUGAAGGGGUAUAUACUAUUAUUUAUCGUAGCGACGAUUGGUUUCACAA